rnacentral:rRNA from 1 species
UACGUAGGGUGCAAGCGUUAAUCGGAAUUACUGGGCGUAAAGCGUGCGCAGGCGGUUUUGUAAGUCUGUCGUGAAAGCCCCGGGCUCAACCUGGGAAUUGCGAUGGAGACUGCAAGGCUUGAAUCUGGCAGAGGGGGGUAGAAUUCCACGUGUAGCAGUGAAAUGCGUAGAGAUGUGGAGGAACACCGAUGGCGGAGGCAGCCCCCUGGGUCAAGAUUGACGCUCAUGCACGAAAGCGUGGGGAGCAAACAGG